rnacentral:rRNA from 1 species
CCCUUAGAUGAUUUGGGCUGCACGCGCGCUACACUGACCCUAACAAUGAGCAACUGUCUGGCCUGAGAUGGCUGGGUAGCCUUUUCAACCCAUGUCAUGAUUGGGCUAGAUUUUUGUAAGUCUUGAUCUCUAACGAGGAAUCCCUAGUAUGCGUGAAUCAUCAAUCCAUGCAGAUUAUGUCCCUGCCCUUUGUACACACCGCCCGUCGCUCCUACUGAUUGGGUGAUCCGGGGAGCUGUUCGGCCAUAGCAAUGUUUCUUGAGCAGGGCAAUGAAUGUUUCGCAAACCUUGCCACUUAGAGGAAGGAGAAGUCGUAACA